CCGCCCCCGGGGGCUGCUCCAAGCACAGCCCGAGCCCCCAGCUCAGCCCCCAGCCCCAGCUCUGUCCCUCGUGUCCCCAACCUGGCUUUGUUGUUCUGGCUGGAGUUCAGCGCCGCGGGACGGGACUGGGACGUGCCCAGCAGAGCCAGAUGGGAAGCUCUCAGGAAGAGGCUGCACACCUUUUAGAGCGUUUUUAACUAUUCAAAACUUGAGGGUGCCCCAGGGCAGUCCCAUGAAAUCCAGGACCCAUCUCCCAGAAGAGACAGGGGCAGCCUGGCUGGGAGAGGGUUGAGUUCCCUGCUCUGUCCGGGCUUCCCAAAUUAAUGGGAUUAUCUCUCCCCUAUCUGGGCUAAAGGGAAGCAGUACCUUAACUCACUCCCAGGAUGGCCAGAGGUCUUUAAAAAGCUCCAGCACUUGAGGCAGAUCGCCUCCAGGCAUUCCUUGGGUUUGUAAAUUCAGGGUUUAAGGCGAAGGGACCCUGGCCAUCAUCUGGUCGCACCUCCCUUGUAAAACCAUGAAAGACAACAGCACCGCCUUGAGCAGUUAAUUUGCAGGAGCUCCUGGUUUUGGUUUUUAAUUUGCCAGCUCCUGGUGGCUGGAGGGCCCUCAGUAGAUGCAGAACGUGAGUAAUAUGUGCCACAUCCCGGGGCCAGCUGCUCCCACAAGGAACAGGACAAAGUGGCCAAAGUGGCUGCUGUGCUCCAGGCUAAAUUACAGAGGUGAGCACCAGGGAUGUGUGGGGGGAAGGAAAAGGAGGAUUUCAGCCCACAGAACCCCUCCAAGCUCCGAGUGCACACCUCCACACACACCUGACCAGCCAGGCCUCCCUAACACCCCCAAGCACCCCAAACCCUGCCCGUGCUCCGAGGGCAGUGAGGAAGGACACCCAUGGGUUCUGUUGGCCUUCAUCCCACCGGAGUCUGUCUCCAGGGCAGUGAGGAAGGACACCCAUGGGUUCUGUUGUCCUUCAUUCUACCAGAAUCUGUCUGGAGGGCAGUGAGGAAGGACAUCCAUGGGUUCUGUUGGCCUUCAUCCCACUGGAGUCUGUCUGGAGGGCAGUGAGGAAGGACAUCCAUGGGUUCUGUUGUCCUUCAUCCCACCGGAGUCUGUCUCCAGGGCAGUGAGGAAGGACAUCCAUGGGUUCUGUUGUCCUUCAUUCCACCGGAGUCUGUCUCGUAGCUAACCAGAUUUCAGUGGAGUGAAGCACAAGAGGCAUGGAGCUGAGCCAGCACCGAGGAGCUGCUGCCCUGCAGAGGGGGGCACCACUGGAAAUGGGGUACACCAGCAGAGACCACACUGCAAACAGAGAGGAGCAGCACGAGGAGCUCUGCAGUGACCCGAGUACCUCCUGAAAAUCCGCAGUAAGCACCCUCUGCCAGCAUGUACUUCCUUUCUUCAUCAUGUGUAAAGAUUAAAAGUCUACAAAGACCACAAGCUGCUUUCUGGAAGGUUUAAAUACCUUAUUAGCAGGAAAUUAAACCCUAAAGUGGAUAAAUGAGCUGUGUAACCUCAUCCCUUCAGUCAUCUUCCCGUCAGGAUGGGACAGCCAGGGAAGAAACCAGAAACGAACCUUGCUUCAGUGCACUUGCACCAGUGCAUUCCCUCAAAAAUCCCUCCCUACAGAAUCCCAGCCGCGCCUCCUUCCCUCCAAAUCCCCUGCCACACCACCCUCAGAACCUGUAAAAAACUCCAUUAAUAUUUUAGACCCAUUUACUUAGUAAUAAAAUGAAUGUAAAUAAGAUGGAA